rnacentral:rRNA from 1 species
GUGAGGAAUAUUGCGCAAUGGAGGCAACUCUGACGCAGCCAUGCAGCGUGCAGGAAGAAGGCGCUACGCGUUGUAAACUGCUUUUAACCGGGAAGAAACCCCAGGACGUGUCCUGGGUUGACGGUACCGGAGGAAUAAGCACCGGCUAACUUCGUGCCAGCAGCCGCGGUAAUACGAAGGGUGCAAGCGUUAUCCGGAUUCAUUGGGUUUAAAGGGUGCGUAGGCGGAGCGUUAAGUCAGUGGUGAAAUCCUGCAGCUUAACUGUAGACUUGCCAUUGAUACUGGCGCUCUUGAGUGCGCUUGAAGUGGGCGGAAUGUGCCGUGUAGCGGUGAAAUGCUUAGAUAUGGCACAGAACACCAAUUGCGAAGGCAGCUCACUAAGGCGAUACUGACGCUGAGGCACGAAAGCGUGGGGAUCGAACAGGAUUAGAAACCCUAGUAGUCC